UAUUCAGAGAGAGGGCUGGACUGACUAACGUUAUUAAAACCUCUUUUUAAAACAAUUCUUAAGGAAUGUCAUAUCUUCAGUGUUAUUUUUCCAGGACUGUCAACAAAAUAGUGGAAAGUGUUUGGGAGGCAGCCGCAUAUUGAGCAGUCUGACUGGCUCAGUGAAGAAACUGUUACAGAGCCCAGUGAUGGUUUCAGCACAGACAGCACAGACAUCAGGAAGCAUUAUCCUCAUCAAACUUAAGGUGGAUCAGGAGCCUAUAAUAUAUACUCUGGACACAGGGCAAAAAUACACCCUGAGUAGAAUUCCAGUUCAUCGCAAUGGACCAAUGGACCACACAUUUUCUUAACUAAAGCCUAACUAAUGGUCCAGUCAAAAUCUCUACAUGGCUAACAUUGUUAAUAUGAUGUGCUUCAUUUGAAUUAUAAUUAACAUUUACUGAGCUAACUGAACUGCUAUAUGUGUAUCAUUAUGCAAUUGAAAUGUACAAUUUAAUUCCAACCAUAGUCUGUAAAGACCCUACAUCCAACACAUUUUUUCUUAUAUAACUAUAUUGUUUUUCCCCGCUAUGUUUACUGUCAUAGUUACUGUGUACAUGUCUUAUCUCUUAUUUUGUACUGCUGUGCCUUGGAAUAAUAAAAUGUAUUAAAGAGUUACAUUGUAUUGUGUUAUAUUGUAUAUAAAAUAAUCAGUAUUAUUUGAAAUGAUUUUAAGGUAUGUCAACCAAUGUUAAGAAAGUUACCAUUUGAGACGUAUGUGGCUUCCUUACAACAUUGGUGUAUAACCCUUUGACCUCAGAGAUGUGUUGUGACUGGAGAGGAUUGAGAUUGAUUAGUUCCAGGUUUGCUGGCUGUUUGAAUACAUCAGAUGUUUUUCUUGUAUUUCCAUGUUCUGAAUUUUAAUAACUGUAUUUUCUGUGAGCAAUGUAAACAUAAAGUUCAUAU